UAGUCCACGCUGUAAACGAUGUCUACUUGGAGGUUGUUGUCUUGAAUGAUGGCUUUCGGAGCUAACGCGUUAAGUAGACCGCCUGGGGAGUACGGCCGCAAGGUUAAAACUCAAAUGAAUUGACGGGGGCCCGCACAAGCGGUGGAGCAUGUGGUUUAAUUCGAUGCAACGCGAAGAACCUUACCUACUCUUGACAUCUAGAGAAGCCAGCGGAGACGCAGGUGUGCCUUCGGGAACUCUAAGACAGGUGCUGCAUGGCUGUCGUCAGCUCGUGUUGUGAAAUGUUGGGUUAAGUCCCGCAACGAGCGCAACCCUUAUCCUUGUUUGCCAGCACGUAAUGGUGGGAAUUCCAGGGAGACUGCCGGUGAUAAACCGGAGGAAGGUAAGGAUGACGUCAAGUCAGCAUGCCCCUUACGCUCUGGGCUACACACGUGCUACAAUGGUCGUGACAAAGAGUUGCUAGUCUGCGAAGGCAAGCCAAUCUCAUAAACGCGGCCUUAGUUCGGAUUG
rnacentral:rRNA from 1 species